GUUGAAAGGAUUGUUGAUCAUUCACACUGUUAGACGGUCUUGGAUGGGUCCUUUGGUCUCCCGAGAUUCUGCAUUCUGUAAACACGAGUCAAGGAUACUUACGUUGAGGUGAGAUACUACUGUGUGGUUUUGGUGCCUGAGAAAUCCAUAGCUGAUAACACCGCCACGUCCGCGUCGUGGUCCUGAAUAAUCUAAAAAGCGGUGCAGGUA